rnacentral:rRNA from 1 species
AAGUUGCAGGGUAUAGACCCGAAACCCGGUGAUCUAGCCAUGGGCAGGUUGAAGGUUGGGUAACACUAACUGGAGGACCGAACCGACUAAUGUUGAAAAAUUAGCGGAUGACCUGUGGCUGGGGGUGAAAGGCCAAUCAAACCGGGAGAUAGCUGGUUCUCCCCGAAAGCUAUUUAGGUAGCGCCUCGUGAAUUCAUCUCCGGGGGUAGAGCACUGUUUCGGCUAGGGGGCCAUCCCGGCUUACCAACCCGAUGCAAACUGCGAAUACCGGAGAAUGUUAUCACGGGAGACACACGGCGGGUGCUAACGUCCGUCGUGAAGAGGGAAACAACCCAGACCGCCAGCUAAGGUCCCAAAGUCAUGGUUAAGUGGGAAACGAUGUGGGAAGGCCCAGACAGCCAGGAUGUUGGCUUAGAAGCAGCCAUCAUUUAAAGAAAGCGUAAUAGCUCACUGGUCGAGUCGGCCUGCGCGGAAGAUG